ACGGGUGAGUAACGCGUGGGAACGUGCCCUGAGGUACGGAAUAACUGCGGGAAACUGCAGCUAAUACCGUAUGAGCCCCGAGAGGGGGAAAGAUUUAUCGCCUUGGGAGCGGCCCGCGUCGGAUUAGCUAGUUGGUGGGGUAACGGCCUACCAAGGCUUCGAUCCGUAGCUGGCCUGAGAGGACGAUCAGCCACACUGGGACUGAGACACGGCCCAGACUCCUACGGGAGGCAGCAGUGGGGAAUCUUGCGCAAUGGGGGCAACCCUGACGCAGCCAUGCCGCGUGAACGAUGAAGGCCUUAGGGUUGUAAAGUUCUUUUACCCGUGACGAUGAUGACGGUAACGGGAGAAUAAGCUCCGGCUAACUUCGUGCCAGCAGCCGCGGUAAUACGAAGGGGGCUAGCGUUGUUCGGAAUUACUGGGCGUAAAGCGCGCGCAGGCGGUUCGAUAAGUUGGGGGUGAAAUCCCUGGGCUCAACCCAGGAAUGGCCUUCAAGACUGUCGAGCUAGAGGACGAGAGAGGUGAGUGGAAUUCCCAGUGUAGAGGUGAAAUUCGUAGA
rnacentral:rRNA from 1 species